GCAACCCACGGUGUCCGCAGUUUCUCCUUCCUCCUUCUCAUUGCCUGCUCUCAAAGCAAGCUACCCAGAGAGAGAAAGAGAAAAUAGAAUGACAAUUAAAUGAGGCUGUCCAUAGUUUGUAACAGGAAAGCCUGAGGAGAAUGAAGAUCUAAGAAGUUAAGAAGUUUAAGAAGAUCUAAGAGUUACCAGCUAUUGAAUCUUGGAUGCGACCUUGGGAAGCCAGAAGUGCAUAAGACGAUGGAUUUUACAACUUAUUUUGGGAUUCAGAGCAAUUACAUUCCCUUCCUCAGAGCCAAGAAAGGUGAGGAAAGGGAAGAAAGCGGUAGAGAUCAAUAUACAUUUACCAUACUCUUCAUCACAUUCUGACAACUGGACAGUAAGCAAUAUGAAGGCAGAGCCUGUGUCUGUCUUGUUUACCAAUACAAUUCUAGCACCACACAUCCACUGUACGUGGCACA